AUUCUACUCCCUCCGUUGCACAAUACAUGCCUUCUAUUUGUCAAAAUAUAUAUGUAUCUAGACAUGUUUUAGUAUAUAGGCACAUCCAUUUUUGGACAAAUGGAAGUCAAGUAUUUUGGAAUGGAGGGAGUACAAA
rnacentral:pre_miRNA from 1 species